UAUAGUACAUAUGCACAUAUGAAUUUCAUUCUUAACUAUGAAAACAUUGCAUAAAACUAACUCAAUUUUUUUUUUAAUUUCACUUUUUGAUAUACCUGUAUUCUACUAACACUUUCUACCUUUGGCUUACAGAUGAGUAAGGAAGAACUGAAAGGAAGAGGAACUACCUUUCCCUCUCUUUUACUUUCCUUUUACAUCAUCAUUAGUAGUUAGCUACAGGGAAGUGAUGACUAAGAAAAGGAUUAGAAAAAUCUCAGCCUACGUUAAAAGUAUUUGCAUAUGAAGACUAUAUACUGCAAAGUAACAUAAGAUACUUACUGAGCUACAAAAACCUGCUGAACAAGUGUUACAAGACAAGAGUAGAGCUUGGUGACAGAAAUGGGAGAAGUUGACUGCUGCCCACUGCAAUUGGUGUAAAGAGAGGCAAGUGUUACCUAGAAAAAUCCAGUAAGGAGGAUUUUUGCUUCUGGCAGUAUGGUAUACUAGAGGUUCAGUGAACCCCUAGCCAGCCUUAUUAAAAAGAAAAGAGAACAGACUCAAAUUAAUAAAAUCAUGAAUGAAAGAGAAGAGAUCACAACCAAUACCAAGGAAAUACAAACGAUUUUAAAAGCAUAUUGUGGGCAGCUAUAUGCCAACAAAUUAGGAAAUCUGGUAGAAAUGGGUGCAUUUCUGGAAAACCACAAAUCACCAAAACUGGAACAGGAAGAAAUAGAAAACCUGAACAAGCCAAUAACCAGGGAGGAAAUUGAAGCAGUCAUCAUAAACCUCCCAAGACAGAAAAGUCCACAGCCAGAUGGCUUCCCAGGGGAAUUCUAUCAAACAUUUAAAGAAGAAAUAAUACCUAUUCUACUAAAGCUGUUUUGAAGGAUAGAAAGGGAGGGAAUACUUCCAAACUCGUUUUAUGAGGCCAGCAUUACCUUGAUUCCAAACCCAGACAACGACUCCACCAAAAAGGAGAAUUAUAGAUCAACAUACCUGAUGAGCAUGGAUUCAAAAAUUCUCACCAAGAUACUAGCCAAUACUAGCACCCCAGAGUUCAUAGCAGCAAUGUCCACAAUAGCCAAACUGUGGAAGGAGCCACGAUGUCCUUUGACAGAUGAAUGGAUAAACAAGAUGUAUAAAUAUAUAUGUAUAUAUAUAUAUAUAUAUAUAUAUACACAUACAUACAUACAAUGGAAUAUUACUUAAUCAUCAGAAAUGAUGAAUACCCACCAUUUGCUUUGAUGUGGAUGGAAUUGGAGGAUAUUAUACUAAGUGAAGUAAGUCAAUCAGAGAAGGACAAUCAUCAUAUGACUUCACUCAUUCAUGAAAUAUAAGAAACAGUGAAAGGGAUUAUAAGGGAAAGGAGGGGAACUG